rnacentral:lncRNA from 1 species
CUAAGCUCAGGCGCUGCUGGGAUAACACACAGUCUGAACUUGUUUGUGUUCCUUAUUGUGACACACUCUGACCUGGCUUCAUUCGAAUGUGAGGUGCUUACUUGGAACACCAGCUACAGAGGUCAAGCUCUGAUAAGGAACAAAAAACAUGGCAAUAAAGGAAAAACAAUGAUAUGCAAAGGUGUGACCAGGCGCACCAGAGAGACAGAUACAUCCUUGCACCAGUAAAGAUCUCCAGAACCAGGCCUUAAUGUUCUAGGACAGCACAGCCUUGAAUGGACAGUUCUACGAAGUGGUGAACACGGUCAGGCUCUGCAAAAAAAAAAAGAAGAAAUGCAUUCCUCUUGCUAACAUCACAGCAAGCCAGUCAGGACAGCUCCUCACUGAGAUCAUUGCAAAAAGUUAAACUGAUGAUACAUAAACGAAUCAUAUUUCUGGCAAGGCUUUGGAAAUUCACCUCUGAAUCAAGUAAAAGAACCGAUGUUAUGAGUUCAUGAUGACAAUGCUCAUAGUAAAGUGAGUCAUUUCACAGGAGUGAUCAAAGAGUGGGAGAGAUUCUACCACCCAUGUAAAUCGUUUUUUGGAUAUUACCGUUUCACUGGCAGCUCAGAUCAUAAGUAAAAGGGCAGAGAGUGGGUUUUUCACUGUGUGGGUUGGAGUGAGAGUUAUUCAGAAUUGUUUCACAGAUUGCACAAUGUUCAGUGCUUUCUGAUGAAGAGUAAAU